GCUGUUUUCAUAAUAAAAAGAGGGGGGGGAGGGAAUUACCUAGUGUUUAUACCAUAUCUUGCAAUUGCUGCAUUUUAUUUCUUUUUUUUUUUUUUUUUUAAAAGUUGCAUAUAAGGAAAAUAAUCGAAAUAACAGAAUAUUGUGUAGAAUAGAUUUAACUAAAAUUCUCCUAUGAUUCAAUGUGACAGCCACUGUGUAUCCAUUCUCACUAAGGAAAUACUAUUCAAAAACACACCACCACUUGAUGACAGAGAACAAAAAAAUGCUACAGCUCAAUACCCAUCUAGUCAAAGCUCAUUAUCUCUUAACUGUCCCGCUUGAAUUUUUUCCAUAGUAUGGAAAAAUUAAGUUUUUCUUAGCAUGAAGUCUUUCGGCACAGGAAAUAAUUAGUAUCUUAAUAUUUUUGGCAACCAAGAAACAAAAAUUGCACCAUCACCCCCAAAAUGAUAACUACAACUAGUUCAGUGACUAGAAUGCUCAACUGGGACUCACAAUAGCUGAGCUCUAUUCCUGGUUCAGUCACUGACCUAUUGUGUGGCCUUCAUUAAGUCUCUUCACAUCUCUGUGCCUCUGAUUUUCCUCGCACCUUUUUCUGUCUUAUCUAUUUAGAUUGUAAACUCUACAGAGCAGGAACUACCUUAUGUGUUUGAACAGUGGGACUCCAAUCAUGUUUGGCGCCACUAGACACUAUUGUAAUACAAAUAAUAUGUCAGAAUAAAAAUAUUCUCUCU